CCGGUUUGGGUGUGGCCGCAUGGCGUGCUGUGGUGCAGGUGGCCGAAGGGGGCGUUACUGUUGCGACUGGCAUCCGCAUCCGGCAGAUGUAGAUGGAACCAAAGUCCAGAAGUUACGCGUCACCCUUGCUCUACAGCCAAACAUGCAGGACUCUAGUAACCCGCGAAAUGAUGGGAUAGCGUUGCAAAUCCUUAAAAGAGUCUUAACGGAGAAGGGAAAAUGUUACAUUGUCAAAGUCCCAAAGCCUUUCAGCCUGAAGCCAGGAACAAUUGUUCAAAGUUUCUUUGGAACAUCAAGGAAGGAAAUCCAGAUUUUACUUUAAGUGCAAUGGGGAGUCAUUAAGGAUUUUGUGUAGAUACAGCAAAAAGACAACAAUCUUCAAGCCACAAUGGCCCUCACCAGAACCCAGCCAUGUGGUCAGCCUGAUCUCGGACUUCACAGCCAGCAGAACUGUGAGAAUUAAAUCUUAUGUUUAAAUCACCUAGCCUAUGGUAUUUUAAUUAUUUAUUUAUUUUUAUUAUGCUUUAAGUUCUAGGGUACAUGUGCACAACGUGCAGGUUUGUUACAUAUGUAUACAUGUGCUGUGUUGGUUUGCUGCACCUGUUAACUCGUCAUUUACGUUAGGUAUUUCACCUAAUGCUAUCCCUCCUCCAUGACCCCAC
rnacentral:lncRNA from 1 species